UGGGCCUACCAAGGCGAAGACGCUUAGCUGGUCUGAGAGGAUGAUCAGCCACACUGGGGACUGAGACACGGCCCAGACUCCUACGGGAGGCAGCAGUGGGGGAAUAUUGGACAAUGGGCGCAAGCCUGAUCCAGCCACGCCGCGUGAGUGAUGAAGGCCUUCGGGGUCGUAAAGCUCUGUGGGGAGGGUACGAACGGCGCCAUGAAGAGUGGUCGAUUGACGGUACCUCCUUAGCAAGCACCGGCUAACUUCGUGCCAGCAGCCGCGGUAAUACGAAGGGUGCAAACGUUGCUCGGAAUCAUUGGGCGUAAAGCGCACGUAGGCGGCUUCUAAGUCGGAUGUGAAAUCCCUCGGCUUAACCGAGGACGUGCAUCCGGAAACUGGGAGGCUUGAGUAUGGAAAGAGGGUCGCAGAAUUCCCGGUGUAGAGGUGAAAUUCGUAGAUAUCGGGAGGAAUACCAGUGGCG
rnacentral:rRNA from 1 species